rnacentral:rRNA from 1 species
CCUACGGGAGGCAGCAGUGAGGAAUAUUGGUCAAUGGGCGCGAGCCUGAACCAGCCAAGUAGCGUGAAGGAUGACUGCCCUACGGGUUGUAAACUUCUUUUAUAAAGGAAUAAAGUGUGGCACGUGUGCCUUUUUGUAUGUACUUUAUGAAUAAGGAUCGGCUAACUCCGUGCCAGCAGCCGCGGUAAUACGGAGGAUCCGAGCGUUAUCCGGAUUUAUUGGGUUUAAAGGGAGCGUAGAUGGGUUGUUAAGUCAGUUGUGAAAGGCUGGGGCUCAACCGUAAAAUUGCAAUUGAUACUGGCAGUCUUGAGUAGAGUUGAGGUAGGCGGAAUUCGUGGUGUAGCGGUGAAAUGCUUAGAGAUCACGAAGAACUCCGAUUGCGAAGGCAGCUUACUAAACUGCCACUGACAUUGAGGCACGAAAGUGUGGGUAUCAAACAGGAUUAGAUACCCGUGUAGUC